CUAUUUUAAUACUCAUUAAUAUGUUACUAUUUUAAUACUCUAUAUCUCUUAAAAGCUUUGUAAAUAGCUCUAACUAUCACUUUCCUGUACUUGUAAAAAUCUUAUUCAAUUUUUUGGCACACGCCCCUCGUGGAAAUCAGCUUCGGUUGACGGGAUUAAACCCACAACCUUGCUUUGGAAUACUAGCCCAAUGCUCUGCCAACUGAGCUACGCGGU